rnacentral:rRNA from 1 species
AUUGAACGCUGGCGGCAGGCCUAACACAUGCAAGUCGAACGAGUGGCGGACGGGUGAGUAAUGUCUGGGAAACUGCCUGAUGGAGGGGGCUAACUACUGGAAACGGUAGCUAAUCCCGCCUACCCUCAGAUGUUCCCAGAUGGGUUUAGCUUGUUGGUGGGGUAACGGCUAACAAGGGCGACGAUCCCUAGCGGGUUGGAGAGGAUGACCAGCCACACUGGAACGGAGACACGGUCCAGACUCCUACGGGAGGCAGCAGUGGGGAAGAUUGCACAAUGGGCGCAAGCCUGAUGCAGCCAUGCCGCGUGUAUGAAGAAGGCCGUCGGGUUGUAAAGUACUUUCAGCGGGGAGGCGUUACCCGCAGAAGAAGCACCGGCUAACUCCGUGCCAGCAGCCGCGGUAAUAC